rnacentral:tRNA from 2 species
GCCGGAGUGGUGAAACCGGUAGACGCGCUGGACUCAAAAUCCAGUGGGGGCAACCCCGUGAGAGUUCGAGUCUCUCCUCCGGCACCA